rnacentral:rRNA from 1 species
CCUACGGGUGGCAGCAGUGGGGAAUAUUGCACAAUGGGGGAAACCCUGAUGCAGCGACGCCGCGUGAGUGAAGAAGUAAUUCGUUACGUAAAGCUCUAUCAGCAGGGAAGAAAAUGACGGUACCUGAGUAAGAAGCCCCGGCUAACUACGGGCCAGCAGCCGCGGGAAUACGUAGGGCGCAAGCGUUAGCCGGAUUUACUGGGUGUAAAGGGAGCGUAGACGGUGCGGCAAGUCUGGAGUGAAAUGCCCCAGCUUAACUGCGGAACUGCUUUGGAAACUGGCGAACUAGAGUGCGGGAGGGGUAAGCGGAAUUCCUAGUGUAGCGGUGAAAUGCGUAGAUAUUAGGAGGAACAUCAGGGGCGAAGGCGACUUACUGGACUGUAACUGACACUGAGGCACGAAAGCGUGGGGAGCAAACAGGAUUAGAUACCCCAGUAGUC